AUUGAACGCUGGCGGCAUGCUUUACACAUGCAAGUCGGACGAGUGGCGAACGGGUGAGUAACAUAUCGGAACGUACCGAGCAGUGGGGGAUAACUAAUCGAAAGAUUAGCUAAUACCGCAUACUGUUUGAGCGGCCGAUAUCUGAUUAGCUGGUUGGUGGGGUAAAGGCCUACCAAGGCGACGAUCAGUAGCGGGUCUGAGAGGAUGAUCCGCCACACUGGGACUGAGACACGGCCCAGACUCCUACGGGAGGCAGCAGUGGGGAAUUUUGGACAAUGGGGGCAACCCUGAUCCAGCCAUGCCGCGUGUCUGAAGAAGGCCUUCGGGUUGUAAAGGACUUUUGUCCGGGAAGCGGUACCGGAAGAAUAAGCACCGGCUAACUACGUGCCAGCAGCCGCGGUAAUUC
rnacentral:rRNA from 1 species